UACGUAGGGUGCAAGCGUUUAAUCGGAAUUACUGGGCGUAAAGCGUGCGCAGGCGGUUUUGUAAGUCAGAUGUGAAAUCCCCGGGCUUAACCUGGGAACUGCGUUUGAAACUACAAGGCUAGAGUGUGGCAGAGGGGGGUGGAAUUCCACGUGUAGCAGUGAAAUGCGUAGAGAUGUGGAGGAACACCGAUGGCGAAGGCAGCCCCCCUGGGUUAACACUGACGCUCGAGGCACGAAAGCGUGGGGAGCAAACAGG
rnacentral:rRNA from 1 species